rnacentral:misc_RNA from 1 species
CCGAGCGUGACCCCCCCGGAAAUUUAAAGGGGGGUGCCUCCCGUCCUUUGCAGGCCUUUAGGGGCUUUCAGACUUUGCUUCGGCGGGGCUGCCCCGCCGGAACACCCUCAAGAAAAUCUCGAAAAAAACCGUUCCGUCCGAGGUUGCGAUAAUAAGAA